GUCGUCAGCUUACCCUGUGAAGGUUUAACAGUAAGCAAAACGGGCCAAGCCCAAAACGUCAGGUCGAGGUGUAGCGCACGAGGUGGGAAGAAAUGGGCUACAUUUUCUACCACAGAACAUAACGAAUAGCGCCCUGAAACAUGGCACCUGAAGGAGGAUUUAGUAGUAAAAAGCAAAUAGAGUGUCCUUUUGAAUCAGGCUCUGAGGCGCGCACACACCGCCCGUCACCCUCCCCUUUUCAUCUUAAUCACCAACAUACCUAAUCUUAUAUCCAAAACUAUGGGGAGGCAAGUCGUAACAUGG
rnacentral:rRNA from 1 species